UUCAGAUUGGGAUACUCGUCAAAUAAAACUGAAAACCGAGAUGACUUCUCUUGCUAAUGGCGGGCCACAAUCCUUUAGGAUAGCUGUAAAGCCGGUGGAUUACAAAGGUAGAGAGCUCUCAAAUCUUAUGAAUAAGGAGUUUUCAUCACAUCAUCAGUACGACCUUUC
rnacentral:sRNA from 1 species